CAUAUAUUUUUGAAAAGUAGACAACCCAGGGUAUUCAAUAUGGGGUAUGUCCAGUCUUUUUUAGUAGCCACUUAGUCACAAACAUUGUCCAAAAUUAGCAUUUUUAUUUGUUUGUGUGUUAAAAAUGCUAAAAACAAUUAUGAACGGUAACUUUGGCUAGUGUUUGUAAUUAAGUGGCUACUAAAAAAGACUGAACAUACCCCAUUUGCAAUACCUUGUGUUCUUUUGCAAAUGGUAUG
rnacentral:miRNA from 1 species